ACCGGCAGCUCAAGUGGUGGCCAUUUUUACUGGGCUUAAAGCGUUCGUAGCUGGCUUGUUAAGUCUCUGGGGAAAUCUUCCAGCUCAACCGGAAGACUUCUCAGGGAUACUGGCAGACUAGGGACCGGAAGAGGUGAGAGGUACUCCCGGGGUAGGAGUGAAAUCCUGUAAUCCUGGGGGGACCACCUGUGGCGAAGGCGUCUCACCAGGACGGAUCCGACAGUGAGGAACGAAAGCUGGGGGAGCAAACCG
rnacentral:rRNA from 1 species